rnacentral:rRNA from 1 species
AUUGAACGCUGGCGGCAUGCCUUACACAUGCAAGUCGAACGGUAACAGGUUAAGCUGACGAGUGGCGAACGGGUGAGUAAUAUAUCGGAACGUGCCCAGUCGUGGAGGAUAACGUAGCGAAAUCUACGCUAAUACCGCAUACGAUCUACGGAUGAAAGAGGGGGAUCGCAAGACCUCGCGCGAUUGGAGCGGCCGAUAUCAGAAUAGGUUGUUGGUAAGGUAAAAGCUCACCAAGCCUGCGAUCUGUAGCUGGUCUGAGAGGACGACCAGCCACACUGGAACUGAGACACGGUCCAGACUCCUACGGGAGGCAGCAGUGGGGAAUUUUGGACAAUGGACGCAAGUCUGAUCCAGCAAUGCCGCGUGCAGGACGAAGGCCUUCGGGUUGUAAACUGCUUUUGUACGGAACGAAACGGUGAGCUCUAAUACAGUUUGCUAAUGACGGUACCGUAAGAAUAAGCACCGGCUACCUACGUGCCAGCCGCCGCCGUAA